rnacentral:lncRNA from 1 species
AGCAUCACAUUACAUUAUCAUAUUAUUAAGCAUUUUUUUAUUUCUCUGUUCCAGGCACUGCGCUAAGCAUUGGGAAUACAGAGACACAAGCCCGUCCAUGAUCUCCAGACUUGAGCUCACAUUCAAAUUUGGGGUUUUGCUUUUUGGGUAGAAGUACAGGACUUCCCCCAUCCAUGCAGAUUCAAAGGCAUAUAUUUGGAGAACCCUGUAUACCAGGAAAUAGGCUUGGACACAGUCCAUCCUAGGCAGAAGUGAUGCCUAUAUUGAAUGGCCUUAUUUCCUCUGGAGAAAAUCUUCAGGUGCAUAGAAGGGAUCUCUCAUUAGUAGACAACCCCCCAAAAUGACAUGAAUACACAUUGGCAAUAUGAAGAAAACAGGAUGACCAAACAUUACUGGGAAUAUGCAAGUCUACCAGCCUAAAAUUUGGAGGGCUUGGCGCUUCCGACAUUUAUGAAUAAAAUCUGCCAAUAGUGCUGAAAGAGGUAUGAG